UACAAUGAUGAUUUACUUUAAUUUUAUCACGACGGUCAACAUAUGUCUACCUUGAUGACCACUGCCUGUGACAGGGCAAUAUAUCUGAAACUGUUC
rfam:Aspergillus versicolor CBS 583.65 unplaced genomic scaffold ASPVEscaffold_5, whole genome shotgun sequence.